UAGCGAAAUUCCUUGUCGGGUAAGUUCCGACCCGCACGAAAGGCGUAAUGAUUUGAGCGCUGUCUCGACAAUGCAUCCGGUGAAAUUGAAGUACCAGUGAAGAUGCUGGUUACCCGCGCCAGGACGGAAAGACCCCAUGGAGCUUUACUCCAGUUUGAUACUGGGAUUCGGUACUGCAUGUACAGGAUAGGUGGGAGACGAAGAAGGAUGGACGCCAGUCUGUCCGGAGUCGCUGUUGGGAUACCACCCCUGUAGUACUGGGUUUCUAACCAGUUGCCAUGAACUGGCAAUGGGACAAUGUCAGGCGGGGAGUUUGACUGGGGCGGUCGCCUCCGAAAGGGUAUCGGAGGCGCUCAAAGGUUCCCUCAGAAUGGUUGGAAACCAUUCGAAGAGUGCAAAGGCAGAAGGGAGCUUGACUGCGACACCGACGGGUGGAGCAGGUACGAAAGUAGGACUUAGUGAUCCGGUGGUAUAAAGUGGGAUUGCCAUCGCUCAACGGAUAAAAGCUACCCUGGGGAUAACAGGCUUAUCACUCCCAAGAGUUCACAUCGACGGAGUGGUUUGGCACCUCGAUGUCGGCUCAUCGCAUCCUGGGGCUGUAGUAGGUCCCAAGGGUUGGGCUGUUCGCCCAUUAAAGCGGUACGCGAGCUGGGUUCAGAACGUCGUGAGACAGUUCGGUCCCUAUCCGGCGCGGGCGGAGGAUAUUUGAGAGGAGCUGUCCUUAGUACGAGAGGACCGGGAUGGACGGACCACUGGUGUAUCUGUUGUCGACCAACGGCAUGGCAGAGUAGCCAAGUCUGGAAGGGAUAAACGCUGAAGGCAUCUAAGCGUGAAGCCCCCCUCAAGAUGAGAUAUCCCUCCUUCGGGAGUAAGACCCCUUGAAGACUACAAGGUAGAUAGGGCAGAGGUGGAAGCAUGGCAACAUGUGGAGCUGACUGUUACUAAUAGGUCGAGGGCUUAAUCUG
rnacentral:rRNA from 1 species